rnacentral:rRNA from 2 species
UGGGGAAUUUUGGACAAUGGGCGCAAGCCUGAUCCAGCCAUGCCGCGGGUGGGAAGAAGGCCUUCGGGUUGUAAACCACUUUUGUCAGGGAAGAAACGGCUCUUACUAAUAUUAGGAGCUAAUGACGGUACCUGAAGAAUAAGCACCGGCUAACUACGUGCCAGCAGCCGCGGUAAUACGUAGGGUGCAAGCGUUAAUCGGAAUUACUGGGCGUAAAGCGUGCGCAGGCGGCUAUGCAAGACAGAUGUGAAAUCCCCGGGCUCAACCUGGGAACUGCAUUUGUGACUGCAUGGCUAGAGUACGGUAGAGGGGGAUGGAAUUCCGCGUGUAGCAGUGAAAUGCGUAGAUAUGCGGAGGAACACCGAUGGCGAAGGCAAUCCCCUGGACCUGUACUGACGCUCAUGCACGAAAGCGUGGGGAGCAAACAGG